rnacentral:rRNA from 1 species
GACGAACCGUGCGAACGUUGUUCGGAAUCACUGGGCUUAAAGGGCGCGUAGGCGGCUUGCCAAGUCCGGGGUGAAAUCCCCCAGCUUAACUGGAGAAGUGCCUUGGAUACUGGCGAGCUCGAGCGAGGCAGGGGUGAUGGGAACUUCCGGUGGAGCGGUGAAAUGCGUUGAUAUCGGAAGGAACGCCGGUGGCGAAAGCGCAUCACUGGUCCUCUUCUGACGCUGAGGCGCGAAAGCCAGGGGAGCAAACGGG